rnacentral:piRNA from 1 species
UUGGUCAUAAUGUUUGUGCAGGAAUA